GAAACGCAAAACCUAAUGGCAUGAACAAACAAACUAAGUCACGAACGAUUUAAUUAAAUCGGGUUGCUGUGUGACGCCGUUCGUGUUGCCGCAAGUCGUAUUGAUGUGAUUCUGUCAUCGAUUGUGUUGUUGAGUGCUGCAGGAACGAACACCAAUUUUGAGCACCCCUUUGGAGUAACAUCGCCACCACCCCUUUUCGGAAGAAUCCUCUCUGGUCGGUAUAACCGUAGGAUCAUAUUAAUAUGAUCUUAGUUCUCCAACACCAUUCCAAUCUUCAGAAGCAUUUGAUCUCAAUCAUGUGGUCAAGUUAAGCAUUCAAUUUCUUCAUUCUCUAAAGCCAAGGAACUUGUGGAAACUUGGAAAACUUCAAUUGGACGAGACAAAGAAUUGCAGGACCUGCAAUUGAAACACUGGCGGGCUGCAGCAAUGGAAAAAUAUACAUGUAUCAAUGAAGAUGAAAGAAGACGGAAGUGGAAGUGACGAACUUCAAGAGGACGACGUAGGUUAUGAAUAUCGAGAGGACGACAUAGGUGAUGAACAUCAAGAGGACGACAUAGGUGAUGAAGAGGAUAAUGAAAAUUGCGAUGAGUUCGACAAACUUAAAUGAGUUGGAUGAUGUUGUUUUAGGCUUAAAAUUGCGAUGAGUUCGACAUAUGUACUUUGUCAUUUUGCUAGACUUAUAUCUCUAAGUAUUUAACGUAUAGAAUUAAAUAAUUUUAUACAUUUUGUGUCUAUUGUGUGUAUUCAAACUAAUGUUUGAAGAUUUUAUUAACAUAACUUUUGUGGUA